rnacentral:tRNA from 1 species
AUUGUCUAUUGGAUAUGACAGAGGUUUUCUAAUCCUUUGAGAUAGGUUGAAAUCCUAUU